GCAUCAGGCCACAUUACGUCUGUAUUGUGAUCGAUGAUGCAUUUCGACAGCCGCCCAUAUCAUCCGCGCACUAGCCGGAAAAUACAUAAUUGCGCGCAUGUUUGGGGAUCACUCUGCAUGUAGGUGCUUCUGCUGAAUUGAUCUGAGAAGCAUGCACAAUUGCAGUAAUACAUUGACAACAACCCAGCCAACUAAUAAGAGAUGGUGGAACCACUGGCUGUCUGCACAGCAGAUUCCCUUGCUGUCUUCAAACACAGACUAAAUACUCAUCUAUUUUUACAGUAUUAAAUGACCACUAAUUCUGCUAAUUAUUAAAACAUGUUAAUGUCUUGAAGUGUCUUGAAUUGCACUACUGUGUAUCCGUGCUUAUAUG